CGAAGUCGCUAUGGUGGAAGAUAUUAACGUCGCCGGAAGUGUGGGCGAUCUGUGCCGCCUACAUCAGUCAUGCUUGGGUAACAUCGUGGUUCAUGGCCUACCUGCCUCAAUACAUGAAGCAGAUCCUCAACUAUGACAUCGAAGAGAAUGGUAUCCUGUCGUCGGUGCCGUAUGCGGGGAGGUUAUUAGUCGGCGUGGUGUCAGGCAACAUAUCGGACAGGAUGCUCUCCAGGAGACUUCUGUCGACAGCAAAUACAAGGAAGACCUUCCAGGGUAUAUUCCAGGAUGUCUUGGGUGCGCUGCAUGUAUGAUUCUUGUGGGGUUCCUUGACGACAACAAUGGGACCUUGGCUUUGUCGCUGUUGAUUGCUGGUAUAUCCCUACAGAACUGUACAUCCGUCGCCUUCAAAAUCAAUCACCUUGACAUAGCGCCAAGAUUCGCCGGCGUGAUCGUCGGCAUGACCAUAUCAUGUGCGAUGACGGCCUCGCUGUCCGCGCCACUAAUAACGUCGUACGUCAUUAAACAGGGGACAAGACGGGAAUGGCAAAUCAUAUUCUUCAUCGUGGGCGCCGUCAACGUUUUCGGAGCUGGUGUUUUUGUUGUGUUUGGUAAAGGAACUGAGCGUGAUUGGGCGAAGGAGGAUACGUAAUUUAAAAAAUAGA